rnacentral:piRNA from 1 species
UGUUAGGUGAUUCUAUGUAAGCUCCUAUACAA